rnacentral:rRNA from 1 species
AGGAUGAACGCUAGCGGCAGGCUUAACACAUGCAAGUCGAGGGGCAGCGGGAUGUAGCAAUACAUUGCCGGCGACCGGCGGAUGGGUGCGUAACGCGUAUGACAACCUACCUUAUACAGGGGAAUAACCUUUCGAAAGGGAGACUAACACCCCAUAGUAUUGAUUUAAGGCAUCUUAGAUUAAUUAAAUAUUUAUAGGUAUAAGAUGGGCAUGCGUAUGAUUAGCUAGUUGGUAAGGUAACGGCUUACCAAGGCGACGAUCAUUAGGGGUUCUGAGAGGAAGGUCCCCCACACUGGUACUGAGACACGGACCAGACUCCUACGGGAGGCAGCAGUGAGGAAUAUUGGUCAAUGGGCGCAAGCCUGAACCAGCCAUGCCGCGUGCAGGAAAGACGGCCUUAUGGGUUGUAAACUGCUUUUACAUAAGACUAACCGUAUAUUUGCGAAUAUACCUGAAUGUAUUAUGAGAAUAAGGAUCGGCUAACUCCGUGCCAGCCGCUGC